CAUGUGUGUCUAUUUACUAGAUAUUUAAUUUAAUUUAAUGCGGUUUCAGCUGUGUUGAUUCGGUCAGGUUGUGUGUCCAAACCAUAGACUGUAUAUAGAAUGGAAGCCGUCUGCCUCGUCACUGGGUGAAGCCACUCCGAGAACAGCACCCUCUGUUGAUGGGCUGCAGUAUAGGUCAUAAAUCCCGCCUCCGCCAGCAAAGCUUAUGGGGCUGUGGACCAACUUUAGAAAUUUAUUACAUAUAACAUAAAAUUUUCUCCCCCCUGCUUGCGAUGUUGACAUGUAGUUAUUGUCAGACUGGUUUGUGCUCAAGUCCUUUUUUUCUGUACUGCUGCAUUUUUAAAAGUUAUUAGGGGGUUCAUGUUUGCUAUGAUUGACACCUGAUACAGCCUAUGGGCGUUCAGGGAUUGAGUAGCUCUCCCAGGGAUACGCUGUUUGAGCAGAGCGUCAUCACAGUGACUCUCUGCGACUGCGCGGCCGAAUGCACACAACGCUACAGCACAGCGCUGGUUUCAGGAAAUGAAGAGAAAUCCCUGAAAUACAGAGAGCUUUUUGGGUUCACGAAAAUACCAAACUGGCUGUACGCCGGGCAAGUUCAAAUCAUUGCUCUCCUUAUCUUCCUGGUUUCCUACUCUAUCCACUGUCCUAGCAAAAAGGCACAAAAGCCCAAACCCCCCCAAAAUUUAGGCACAUUUCUUUUUGUUUGUUAAUAUGUGAGACACAUUGUCUUGCUUUAGGUAUUGGCUUUCAGAGUGACGCUUUUUCUGUCUGUUAAAAAGAGCAAUCUAACUUCAAAGCGAGAAACAUAAAAACCUAAUCCAACUUAAAUGUGCUGACUCUUCUCUUGUUUUUGUUACACCUUUUUCUGUUUUCUUUAAGGAGAGAAAAGAGAAGCAUCAUUUAUCGUCUAAGUUUAUGAAACUGUGUGCUUGUCAUGCACAAACAAAAGUUCUCAUCAUCCUAAUUAUAACCUGAGGGUUUGAUGCAGUAAACUCAGGUGUAUUGUAAACUGAAGAAGUUGUGAUAAAAUAUGCUUCAAAAUAUGUAAUAAAAACUGCACUCUGACACAAAACAGCACAAAUAAUGAGAUUCGUUGAGCAGCAGGAAACACUGCUCACCUUAAUGAAUUUGGUUUUUAGCUCUCAGGUACUGCUAAACAUAAUGUUCAGGGAUAGUAAGAGAGAGAAUUAGAUGCUAUUGAUUAACUUAUUUUAUUAGGGCUUUCAAUGGGUGCUAAGAACAUCUCUUAAUAGCUGUGUCCUUAAGCAAAACAGUGAACAAGGGUGAAAAUGUGACCAGAAAACAUUGUUUUGUUUCUGAGAAUUAUACAUUUUCUAAUAGUUUGGGAAUAGGAAGCAAGAAUCAAAGUCACAACUUAGGUUUUCGCAAUGUAAUUUUAUGUUUCCUUGUAAAGAUCCAAAGUAGAGUUUAAAAAAAAUGGAUUGCCUUAGGACAUGAGGAAAUAUCUUCCAUUUCUGUUUUUCAGUUCUCUCAGUUUGUUUGGCCUUUACUCAAGACACAACAACAAAUAUUACAUAAUCUCUCUCAGGAUCAUCAGGAGAUUUGUGUUAAUAUUCCACUCUACUUUCCUCUAAAGGUAGAAGUGACUCUCUCUGUUCACGGCUUUGAAGUGUUCUCCAACUGUCUGACUUUUGUUUGGAGUCGUAGGCUGCUGCAUUAUUUCAUCUACAACAGAAGAUAGAACACAGAAUACAGCAAAUAAAGCAAAAAAUACAGAUUAUAAAACUCAGUUCACAGUGUUACAGAUCUGUUAGAAUUUAGCCAUCCUAGAUUUUGUGCACCCUUGUUGCGUUAGCCACACUUGUGGCUCUUUAGUAGUUAGUCUACUACUAUCUAUUUAACAACUGUUGGAUUGGUUGCAAUAUCAUGAUAACAUUCAGUUCAAAGCAGUGCCGGAUCUAAGUUAAGUCUUGCACACAUAGGGCUCUAUUUUGGUGCCUCGCCGGAGACGUGCCGCAAGCGCAGCGUCAGUCAGAUCCGCCGCGCUGACAAGGCGUUCCCAAGCACAUUUUGGUAUUUUGGUGAGCCGCGCAGCCCGGCGUAAGUAUCCCCCCUCCCUAACUCAGCUCCUCCCAGCACCAUAAGUCGUAGACGGGGAGGAGAAAGGGCGUGUAGUUGAUUUAACACAGCCGAGACCUGUUUUCACCAAUCACAUAGGCUCCUCUCCUUGCCUUUAAAUCCGCCACCGGCGAGGCGUAUUACUAUUUUCAUGAAGUAGUCAAAGAGAUCAAGAGAUGUCUUAAGACAGUAAUGCCACAAGAUGGCGACAGAGGGCAGCUCCUCAACAAGUGCCCUCCACACUCUCUCAUAUGAGCACAGAUGGAUUUAGUGUGCGUAAUGUUGGACCCACUGGUAAGACAAACACCCGUUUCCACAAAUAAAGACACUCACAUAAAGUUGCUCAUAUUCAAACCUCACGUGACAAAGGUGGGUUGAGCGCACAGAUCACAACAUAAACUCCAAAAAUGGCAUUAAAAUCGGAACCAUCUGUGCGUAAAUGACGCAUCGCGCUCCGUGGCCUGGCUCUUUCUUUCACAGAUGUUGGCAUAUAAAAUAAAUUUGGUUCACAAAACUGAAUAUUAUAAUAUCCGUAUGUCGGCUUAAAGUAGAUAACGCAUCUGAGCACUGAAACAAAUCAUCUGUUCAGCUGCAGCAGCAAGACGGACAGAGGACACGGAGACGUGUCCAGGUCGAGCUGUGCGAGAAAUAAGAGGAAGAGGAAGAAAGAAAAGGAGGGAGACGAAUUACAUAUCUUGUUAACUUCAUCAUGUGUGUUUAUUUACUAGAUAUUUAAUUUAAUUUGAUGCGGUUUCAGCUGUGUUGAUUCGGUCAGGUUGUGUGUCCAAACGCGUGCCAAACGCGCUCAUCAGAUCAGAUAUAGAUCAGAAUAUAUCGAUAUAGAUCUAAAUGUAUGUGCUGACUCAGAUUAGUAGUUGAUGAUGAUUAUUUAUUGCACUGAAAUGUGCCUGACACUGUGGAAACCUGCCGGUGAGGCAUCAGUGACGUAUGUCGAUACGCCGCCGGUCUACCAAAAUACUACAAGACCAGCUGCGUUCCGCCUUGCGCUGAAAGCUGACCAGGUUUGAAUCGGCGAGCUUUCAGCGCACUUUACACGCCGUUGGCGAGCACGAAAAUGUCACUGCGCC